rnacentral:rRNA from 1 species
AGCAGCCGCGGUAAUUCCAGCUCCAAUAGCGUAUAUUAAAGUUGUUGCAGUUAAAAAGCUCGUAGUUGAAUUUCGGGGUCAGUAGAUUGGUCGUGCCACUGGUAUGUACUGGUCUUACUGGCUCCUCCUUCCUGAUGAACCGUAAUGCCAUUAAUUUGGUGUUGCGGGGAGACUGGACUGUUACUUUGAAAAAUUAGAGUGUUUAAAGCAGGCUAACGCUUGAAUACAUUAGCAUGGAAUAAUGAAAUAGGACGUUCGAUCUUAUUUUGUUGGUUUCUAGGAUUGACGUAAUGAUUAAUAGGGAUAGUUGGGGGCAUUAGUAUUCAAUUGUCAGAGGUGAAAUUCUUGGAUUUAUUGAAGACUAACUACUGCGAAAGCAUUUGCCAAGGAUGUUUUCAUUAAUCAAGAACGAAAGUUAGGGGAUCGAAGACGAUCAGAUACCGUCGUAGC